ACGAGUGGCGGACGGGUGAGUAAUGCUUGGGAACUUGCCUUUGCGAGGGGGAUAACAGUUGGAAACGACUGCUAAUACCGCAUAAUGUCUACGGACCAAACGGGGCUUAGGCUCCGGCGCAAAGAGAGGCCCAAGUGAGAUUAGCUAGUUGGUAAGGUAAAGGCUUACCAAGGCAACGAUCUCUAGCUGUUCUGAGAGGAAGAUCAGCCACACUGGAACUGAGACACGGUCCAGACUCCUACGGGAGGCAGCAGUGGGGAAUAUUGCACAAUGGGGGAAACCCUGAUGCAGCCAUGCCGCGUGUGUGAAGAAGGCCUUCGGGUUGUAAAGCACUUUCAGUUGUGAGGAAAAGUUAGUAGUUAAUACCUGCUAGCCGUGACGUUAACAACAGAAGAAGCACCGGCUAACUCCGUGCCAGCAGCCGCGGUAAUACGGAGGGUGCGAGCGUUAAUCGGAAUUACUGGGCGUAAAGCGCACGCAGGCGGUUUGUUAAGCUAGAUGUGAAAGCCCCGGGCUCAACCUGGGAUGGUCAUUUAGAACUGGCAGACUAGAGUCUUGGAGAGGGGAGUGGAAUUCCAGGUGUAGCGGUGAAAUGCGUAGAUAUCUGGAGGAACAUCAGUGGCGAAGGCGACUCCCUGGCCAAAGACUG
rnacentral:rRNA from 1 species